GAGUAGGCAUGUUAUAGGCGGUAAGUAGGUCGAUAGCCGCCCUGUUCCCGUUGAUACAUGGAAUGUGUUCUCUAUCCGUUCUGUCCCGCCUCGUCUAGAUCCCUGCAGCUAAUGUGGAGAAGGUGAGCUCCCUCCGAAAGUGUAGAUCUCGAGUGGCCUAUUGGGGGUGGGCCCCAGAGUGAUCGGCUAAGGUACGUGAGCUCUUCUUCUGUCAUUACUGAAUCUCUCCUCUCUUCGUUCGAUGUUUGGGAAGUACUCCUGUUUGCUUCCCCCGGUCAUUACCGGGUACCCUUCCACAGUCCAACUGAGCAAAUUAGGAGAACUUUUGACUCGAAAGAACUCGACUAAAAGGAAUUCAUUGGACUUUCUGAUACAGCAACUCAAAAGGAACAGCCGUCCUUACUGGUGAAGCCUACAGUCUGACUCUUAGCCUAGCUACUUAGAUCAGACUGAGCGAAACUCUGCAGCUGCUUAGUCAAGUUCUGCUACUGACUCUCUUUCAGUUGAGGUG
rnacentral:lncRNA from 1 species